rnacentral:snoRNA from 8 species
CAUUGUGGUGGUUUUCUUUCUGGCACAUUUGUUAAGUUUUCAAAUGGGCCUGACUCUGCCACAUAUAUUAUAUAGGAGCUGGAAAAGGCUUGAUGACAAAGAGAUCUCUUUCUAGCCUUUUCUGCAUCAGAGAUGGCCUCCCACAUGU